GACCUCGGAUCAGGUAGGGAUACCCGCUGAACUUAAGCAUAU
rnacentral:rRNA from 7 species